CCAUCAAAAAUCCCCAAAAUACACCACCCUGAGACUGAAUCAAUUCAUGACCGCCUUCAACUGAUUGCUUACAAAUGCCAAGAUCCAUCUGUCAACCCCAUCGAAACUGCACAGCAACUUUGUAAUCUAGGCACUGAAAUCAUGAAAAUCAUGUCACGCUGGCACAACCAAAACAAGGCUCUCCAGCAAUGUGUCACUACACUUCGUUCAGAGCUACAAGACACAAAAAAAAACUCUCAGAAGCCCUAACUUCUGCAGAAAUCAAUGCUGCUGCCCAAUGCUUUUUCAAAGAUGAACAAUGUGACAUGUCCACACAGACGGAGCAUGCCCCUUCAACACUAGCUGAACACUUACCUGAGAAUAACAGCAAACUAGAAAUACAAGUUGCAACAAAGUCUUCUCCAAAACCAAAUAAAGAUCUACAGAAUGCUUAACCAUACACUCAUUAUAUUGUGUCUACACUUUUAAUGCUUCACUGUAUUUUACUUUUGAAACUACACAUUUUUAUCCAUCCAUUUACUCUUAAACCACAUUAUUUUCUUUUAGCUCUUCUUUAUAAAACUUUUUAAAAUACAAUUCAACAUACUAUAUGCAUA